rnacentral:rRNA from 1 species
UAAUACGAAGGGGGCUAGCGUUGUUCGGAAUUACUGGGCGUAAAGCGCGCGCAGGCGGUUCUUCAAGUCAGGGGUGAAAGCCCAGAGCUCAACUCUGGAAUUGCCUUUGAGACUGUAGAGCUUGAGUACGGGAGAGGUGAGUGGAAUUCCCAGUGUAGAGGUGAAAUUCGUAGAUAUUGGGAAGAACACCGGUGGCGAAGGCGGCUCACUGGCCCGUUACUGACGCUCAGGCGCGACAGCGUGGGGAUCAAACAGGAUUAGAUACCCUGGUAGUCCACGCCGUAAACUAUGAACGCUAGCCGUUGGCGGGCUUGCCCGUCAGUGGCGCAGCUAACGCAUUAAGCGUUCCGCCUGGGGAGUACGGCCGCAAGGUU